rfam:Myotis brandtii contig191205, whole genome shotgun sequence.
GGCAGUUCUUGGGUGAUGCACCUGAAAUCGGGUUCCCUCCUCUUUGGUUCCAGGUGCAUUACUUGAGAACCGCA